AUUGAACGCUGGCGGCAGGCCUAACACAUGCAAGUCGAGCGGAUGAAGGGAGCUUGCUCCUGGAUUCAGCGGCGGACGGGUGAGUAAUGCCUAGGAAUCUGCCUGGUAGUGGGGGAUAACGUCCGGAAACGGGCGCUAAUACCGCAUACGUCCUGAGGGAGAAAGUGGGGGAUCUUCGGACCUCACGCUAUCAGAUGAGCCUAGGUCGGAUUAGCUAGUUGGUGGGGUAAAGGCCUACCAAGGCGACGAUCCGUAACUGGUCUGAGAGGACGAUCAGUCACACUGGAACUGAGACACGGUCCAGACUCCUACGGGAGGCAGCAGUGGGGAAUAUUGGACAAUGGGCGAAAGCCUGAUCCAGCCAUGCCGCGUGUGUGAAGAAGGUCUUCGGAUUGUAAAGCACUUUAAGUUGGGAGGAAGGGCAGUAAGUUAAUACCUUGCUGUUUUGACGUUACCAACAGAAUAAGCACCGGCUAACUUCGU
rnacentral:rRNA from 1 species